rnacentral:lncRNA from 7 species
UCUACCCUCUUCUCUAGUGAUCUUUUUGUCUGGAUAUUUCAGCAGUGAUUUCGUUCCUUACUGCUUCCCCAGCAGCUCAGCACUGCAUUGCCUGAUGCAGUCACUGAACCCAGAGGUGAAUUUCCACCUCAAGAGGAGCAACCUAUGGCACCUACCAACUUGUGCUAAAGGGAAAGGCUGCAGCAUGUGUGUAUCUAUACCCCACAUUGGAAAUUAGAAGAAGCAAAGCCCAGAUCAGAAGCCCAGCGGGUGCUAUUUCCUGGCACCGGAUGCAGAUACCGGCAGGUCUGCCACAAAGCAAGAAGUGGCUCUGGGGUUUGUCAUUUUGGGGACAGUCUUGUGAACUUGUGAUCUAUGGACGGGGAAAAUAGCAGCGUGGAUUUCAGGCAUUCUGCAAGUGGUUUUUCUCCUGCUGAGAAGCACGAUGCUCCCACCAUCUGCCCGUGCUGGCACCGGGUCUUCCUGAAAACCAGUGCUCUGGGGCUGCUGCUGCUACUGCUGACUGCGCUCGGCGUGCAGGGGGCAGCAACCUGGAAGGACCACGGAGGAGCAGCUGCUGAGGGAAG